GGCAUGAAUAUCAAUGGGAUGGAUCUGGAUCCUGGGCCGGCAAGGGCAUCCCACCGCCCACCCAGAGGGCCAAUCACAUCUCUCCCCACCAACCCCGCU